AAAUGACAAAAAAAAUAAAAACAUUUUUGAUUAAUCUUUGAUCUACACAAUGAUGAUGAGUCGCUUUGGAGCUAAGGUAAUGGUAACUGCUGGACCAAGGCUCUUCUCUUCCAGUACCGUGUCUCCCAACCAUCUUUUAAAUUCUAGGGUUCCGGCGAGAGAGUUCAGCAAGAUGACAUUUGAGAAGAAGAAGACGGAGGAUAACCAAUCGGAGAAAGGUUCAAGUGGUGGCAAGGGUGAUCAAGGGAACAAAGGGGAGCAAUUAAUCGUUAGCUAUUGGGGAGUGAAGCCUAUGAAGAUCACCAAAGAUGAUGGAACUGAAUGGAAAUGGAGCUGCUUUCGGCCAUGGGAGACGUAUAAAGCAGAUCUGACAAUACAAAAAAAUAUUUAUUCAUUUCAGUUUAUUCCUACUUCAUUUACCAUUUGGAGCCUUUGUACGUUUGUUUAGACUAAUAAUCUUUAUCAAACGAUUCAAUGCAGAGGCGGUACGGAUGCCGAGCGAUGAUGUUGGAAACGGUAGCAGCGGUUCCAGGAAUGGUCAGAGGAAUGUUAGUACACUGCAAAUCGCUGAGGCGGUUUGAACAAAGCGGCGGUUGGAUCAAAGCACUCCUUGAAGAAGCAGAGAACGAGAGAAUGCACUUGAUGACAUUCAUGGAAGUCGCAAAACCCAAUUGGUACGAACGUGCCCUCGUGAUCGCCGUUCAAGGCGUUUUCUUCAACGCAUAUUUCCUCGGAUACAUAAUCUCGCCCAAGUUUGCUCACCGUAUGGUUGGAUACCUUGAGGAAGAAGCAAUCCACUCUUACACUGAAUUCCUCAAGGAACUUGAUAAUGGUAACAUCGAAAACGUUCCUGCACCAGCCAUAGCCAUUGAUUACUGGAGGCUCCCUGCUGAUGCAACGCUUCGUGAUGUUGUUAUGGUGGUUCGUGCUGAUGAAGCACAUCACCGUGACGUUAACCAUUAUGCAUCCGAUAUUCAUUACCAAGGUCGUGAACUUAAGGAAGCUCCAGCUCCAAUUGGAUAUCAUUGAAUUUAUUUUUAUCUCAUUGAAUAAGAAAAGAGUUUUGUCUUUUUUUUUUGUUCUUCAACGCUUUUGAGCUUCGUAUUUUUACUAUAUAUAAAUAUUCAGUCUCCAAUUUAGUUUAUUCGUUUCUGACAUCUAUUCUAUUAUUUGCGAAGAAUUUUUUUGGAAUCGAGUUCUCACGUUAAAAGUUAGAGUGGUUAAUAACGUUUAUACUUUUAAUGAUUAAUAAGGGAUUACAAGUGAUUUUAAAUUACUUUGUACAAACCCUGUAUUGAAUAACUUCUGAUUUGGAAAAUAAUUUAAAUAAUUGAUUGAAUAACAAAUUAACACAAUAAAAAAAUAACAAAUUAACAAGAGAAUUUAACAAAAUCCCUUAAAACUCAUUCAAUACACCUACCUGCUUCUCUUUAUUUGAGACUGGGCCUAGACCCAUUUGUGAAAACUGAAACCUUCCCGUUUGGGCCUUUUAAUAUAAAGAUUGACCGACCAUAAAAAUUCUACUUUUCUCUAUAUAUGUAUUAUUCUGGUCAGAUAGAAUAAAUAAAAGUCUGCGUUGAUAUCGAGAAAUCGAGAGGCUAGGGUUUGUGAUUCCAAGAGCAAAAGAUGAUCGAGGUGGUGCUGAACGACCGUCUGGGGAAGAAAGUAAGGGUCAAGUGCAACGAAGAUGACACGAUCGGCGAUCUGAAGAAGCUCGUGGCGGCGCAGACCGGAACGCGAGCGGAGAAGAUUCGAAUCCAGAAGUGGUACAACAUCUACAAGGAUCAUAUCACUCUCAAGGACUACGAGAUCCACGACGGCAUGGGCCUCGAGCUCUACUACAAUUAAGGCGAACCGGAGGUGCUGAGCAAAGGAGAGCAAGUGAAUGUUGUUGAUUUGCACACCCCGAUUAAAUAAAAAAAACAAAAGUAUGUCUGUAAAAUUGGCUAAUUGGUUUUCUGAUUAUGUAUUAUGCUUUCGUAAACUAAAAUCAAAUGUGUGGUAAUAAGCUACUCUUUCAACUUUUGUCUACGGUACUUUAAGAAGUCUCUUGGUGUUGUUCUCAA